UGCAAGUUGAACGGGAUAAGUUGUAGCAAUACGACUUUGAGAGUGGCGCACGGGUGCGUAACACGUAUGCAACCUGCCCGAUACAGGGGGAUAGCCUCUCGAAAGAGAGAUUAAUACCCCAUAACAUAUAGGUAUGGCAUCAUAUUUAUAUCAAAGCUGAGGCGGUAUCGGAUGGGCAUGCGACUGAUUAGGUAGUUGGUAGGGUAACGGCCUACCAAGCCGACGAUCAGUAGGGGGUCUGAGAGGAUGUCCCCCCACACUGGUACUGAGACACGGACCAGACUCCUACGGGAGGCAGCAGUAGGGAAUAUUGGUCAAUGGGGGCAACCCUGAACCAGCCAUGCCGCGUGCAGGAAGACUGCCCUAUGGGUUGUAAACUGCUUUUGUACGGAAAGAAACCCUCCUUCGUGAAGGAGGUUGACGGUACCGUAAGAAUAAGGAUCGGCUAACUUCGUGCCAGCAGCCGCGGUAAGACGAAGGAUCCAAGCGUUGUCCGGAUUUACUGGGUUUAAAGGGUGCGUAGGCGGUUGAUUAAGUCAGUGGUGAAAGCCUGUAGCUUAACUAUAGAAUAGCCAUUGAAACUGAUCGACUUGAGUACGGCUGAGGUGACUGGAAUGUAACAUGUAGCGGUGAAAUGCUUAGAUAUGUUACAGAACACCGAUUGCGAGGGCAAGUCACUAAACCGUAACUGACGCUGAGG
rnacentral:rRNA from 1 species